AGAUAUGAUAUAUUAAAGGUGUAGUUGGAAACCGACUACUAGUCUUUUAUAUUCAUGAACAUAUUACUCUUAAGGCGACACGGAUGUGUCGUCUUUUUUUAU
rfam:Staphylococcus saprophyticus subsp. saprophyticus ATCC 15305 DNA, complete genome.